rnacentral:rRNA from 1 species
CCCUUAGACGUUCUGGGCCGCACGCGCGCUACACUGACCAGUGCAACAAGCAUCCGUCCUUGGCCGACAGGCCCGGGCAAUCUUUGAACGCUGGUCGUGAUGGGGAUAGACUUUUGCAAUUUUUGGUCUUCAACGAGGAAUUCCUAGUAAACGCAAGUCAUCAGCUUGCAUUGAUUACGUCCCUGCCCUUUGUACACACCGCCCGUCGCACCUACCGAUUGAAUGGUCCGGUGAAUCUUUAGGACUGUGGCUGAGGCCUUGCCUUGUGCGGGUCUGGCCGUGGGAAUUUAGUUAAACCUUACCAUUUAGAGGAAGGUGAAGUCGUAACA